rnacentral:lncRNA from 1 species
GAAAGCAUGAGUGAGGGAAGCCAAGGUUCGGCCGCCGAAAGUGAAGUUCGGCCGCCGAACAUUUGCAUGGAUGCGGAGGCACAUUCGGCCCCCGAACGUGGCCUGGCCAGCCACUAUAUAAGGGGCACUUAGCCGAAAUGGGCGAGCUUUCUCCCAUUUUCGGCCACAGCAAGCUUCCGACUUUCCCUUUGCAAACCUAGUGUUCUU